rnacentral:lncRNA from 1 species
GGCCUCAGAGAACACGUCUCCCUCACACCCUUCUGCCUGGGCCAGGACGCCCGCACGCUCUGCUGGGCAGCAAGCCUCAAGGGCUUAGAGCCUAAGAAUUCUCGGGUCCAGGCCACAGACCCUCCUUCAUUCUCGGAUGCUUGGAGCCCAGCACCAGUGCUGCCGUCUCAGGAAGCAGAGCUCUGGGGGCGUCUCCACCAAGACCUGGCCUCCACCCACACCCCCGCUUCUCUGUGCGCCUUACCUUGGCCUGAGUCUGGCUAGAAGAUCCUACACGAGGGAAAGGCAAAGUGUUUCCCUGAAUUGGUACAUUACCCAGGGUCCUGAGCUCAGUGCACCUGACUCAUUUCCUUCAGCAUCCAGGCCUCCCGGACAGAUGAAUGACCAUCAUCUCCUGCUCCGAAGGCAGCAGCAACGCUGGUGAGUAGAGCCGUAUCUCCUGGUUCCAGCAGCGCCCCCAUAGCUCCCCAACACUCCUGGUUUAAGGUGACAGUUCUCAGCCCUCGGGGGUCCCAGCUCUAUUCUCUGGCCCCCAAUCCAGCAGCGCGGCCCCUCGGACCAUCUCCAGGCUCCAGCCUGAGGGCCAGCCUGCUUAUCACUGUGUCCUGGGACAACCGUCGCAUUCACACAGGGGCCCCAGCUCCUGGGGAAUGGAGACCCAGAGCUUCGCACCAGCCACAUGGCACAGACUUGAUUUCUGCUGUCACUUCUGCUCGUCGCCUCAGGGCCGCAGGUGCUUCAGGAAGACGGUCCCCACAAAGCUCCUGUCUGCUAUUAAGGAAGAUAUUAAAGAGAUUCUAAAAUUGAAAACAGCGCCACAGCGGCAUUGGUGAAAAUGGUUAAUAGUUCAUUUAUGGUUAAUAGUUAAUUUUAUGUGAUGUGAAUUUUCCCUCAAUUAAAAAAAAAAAAGUGCCUGACCAAAGGUCCCCUCUUGUAUGAUUCCGUGGAUGUGAAGUACCCCGAACGGGCAAAUCCGCAAAGAUGGAAAUUCGAUCGGUGGUCAGGAGCUGGCAGUUUGGGGAGGAAAUGGGAGAUGACUGUUAGUGGGCACAGAGCUUCCUUUGGGGGCAACGAAAAUGUUCUAGAAUUGAUUGUGGUGACGGAUGCACAACUCUGUGAAUAUACUAAAACCACUGAACUGUCUUUCAAUGGUUGAAUUGUAUAGUAUGGAACCCAUAUUCCGAUAAAGCUGUUAUGUUUUUUUAAAUGCCACACUUCAUACUAAAUUUUUUUAGAUUUUGGAAAACAUAACUACUUUUGAUAAAUAUAGUUUGAAAAAAUGUUAUUUAUAUGCAUAUGUAAUGGGUUUGGUGGUGUUAUAUAUAAUUGAACUUUUUUUUAAGCAUGGACUUCUUUUUUUUUUUUUAAAGACUGGCACCUGAGCUAACAUCUGUUGCCAAUCUUCUUUUUCUUUUCUUCUUCUCCCCAAAGACCCCCAGGACAUAGUUGUAUAUUCUAGUUGUGAGUGUCUCUGGCUGUCCUAUGUAGGACGCCACCUCAGCAUGGCUUCAUGAGCAGUGUCGUGUCUGUGCCCAGGAUCCGAACGGGUGAAACCCUGGGCCACUGAAGUGGAGCGCUCGAACUUAACCACUCAGCCGUGGGACCAGCCCUAAUUGAAUUAAUAAAUAAGUUUUUAAGACAAGAGAAACA